rfam:Vitreoscilla filiformis strain ATCC 15551 plasmid pVF1, complete sequence.
AUUCACUGCCGGGUAGGCAGCUUAGAAA